UAAGGGCGUGGUCAACUUGAUUGACGGCUGGUGUCGAGGCAGCAGACGACGUCACUAGCUGAGUGGAGGAAACUCCGAAAUUAUGUCUUGGCUGUGAUCCUACACACCACAUCCUUUCUGAAAAUGUUUAUUCAAAUGUCUGACAAAAUGGGUUGCUAUUAACUGAAGCCUACUAACCGACACUUUAAGAAGACUUCGCUCCAGUUUUUCAGUUUCCCUGUAGGUGAUCCAGACAGGCUGGGUGCUGGAGAGGGCUCUGGACUCCUAACUUCACUUCUCGUCUGUGCAGUCGACUCAGAAGCAUGACUUCAGUACUGAUUCCGUGAUCUGGAACAUUUUGAAAUCCUACCAGAUGGGGCACAAGUCAUUGAGCAGUGGCAGCUUCUGACUUCUGACUUCAAAGACUUUGUUCACCAGCAGACCCCUUGAUUACCUUUAUUUACAGCAUUUGCAUCUGUCAGUCUUUAAAGUGAUCUAAUAUGU